rnacentral:rRNA from 1 species
UACGUAGGGGGCAAGCGUUGUCCGGAAUCAUUGGGCGUAAAGAGCGUGUAGGCGGUCCGGUAAGUCGGCUGUGAAAGUCCAGGGCUCAACCCUGGGAUGCCGGUCGAUACUGCCGGACUAGAGUUCGGAAGAGGCGAGUGGAAUUCCCGGUGUAGCGGGUGAAAUGCGCAGAUAUCGGGAGGAACACCUAUGGCGAAGGCAGCUCGCUGGGACGUUACUGACGCUGAGACGCGAAAGCGUGGGGAGCGAACAGG